rnacentral:tRNA from 1 species
ACCUGCCUGGCUCAGUCUGUAGAGCAUGCGACUCAGGACCUCAGGGUUGUGGGUUCAUGCCCCAUGUUGGGUA